rnacentral:rRNA from 1 species
UACGUAGGGGGCAAGCGUUGUCCGGAUUUAUUGGGCGUAAAGAGCGUGUAGGCGGCUUGGCAAGUCCGCUGUGAAAACUCGAGGCUCAACCUCGAGACGUCGGUGGAAACUGCCUCGCUAGAGUCCGGAAGAGGAGAGUGGAAUUCCUGGUGUAGCGGUGAAAUGCGCAGAUAUCAGGAAGAACACCAAUGGCGAAGGCAGCUCUCUGGGACGGUACUGACGCUGAGACGCGAAAGCGUGGGGAGCGAACAGG